rnacentral:lncRNA from 1 species
UUAAUUCUAAUUCGAUUUUUUUGGGGGGUUUUAUGCGUCCUGGGUGUCGUCAGAGGGGCUCAGGGGGAAACACGUGUCAUCUCCUCCGGUGCUCCAGAGAAAAUGCGCGUAAUUGGCUGCAUAGUAGGUGUUACUUGGAUCGGCGGCGAUCGCCUCCAGAUACGUCUCCUCCGCCGCCCAAAGGUCCUUCUUCGCCACCCACAGAAAGCUCGCAUAUUUGUUGUACGCCUCCGCAUCCGGCGGCUCCACCGCUAUCGCUCUUUUGAAGUACUCCUCCGCUCUGUGAAUAAGCAAAGAAAAAUUAAGGUCAACAAUCAACACCACGUGAGAAGUUCGUGACUGAUUCCACUUCUUUCUUCUUCUUCUAUGAACGGGUAACCACACACGUCUCUAUCGGAGAUUUGGAAAAAGACUACAAAUCUUUUGACUCGUAGAAUGGGCACCGACUUAACUCGGCAAUGGAGGAGGGUGACGCGACUUUUACCUGUCAUAGUCGUGCGCAACGAGAUAGAGGAACUGGGCGUAGUUGGCGAGGAGAAGAGGAUUGUUCGGCUCACGGGCAAGGCCCAUUUGGUAUAGCAGCUCUGCUCUGAAGUAGUCGGCGUAGUCGUCAGCUUCGAUCUUCGCCUCCACCGGCGAAAC